rnacentral:piRNA from 1 species
CAUGGUGUAAUGGUUAGCACUC